UACGUAGGGGGCAAGCGUUAUCCGGAAUUACUGGGUGUAAAGGGAGCGUAGACGGUAAAGCAAGUCUGGAGUGAAAGGCUGGGGCCCAACCCCGGGACUGCUCUGGAAACUGCCGUGCUGGAGUGCAGGAGGGGUAAGCGGAAUUCCUGGUGUAGCGGUGAAAUGCGUAGAUAUCAGGAGGAACACCGGCGGCGAAGGCGGCUUUCUGGACUGAAACUGACACUGAGGCACGAAAGCGUGGGGAGCAA
rnacentral:rRNA from 1 species